AGUACUUGCCCUUUGAUCGCCGAGGAUCGCUGCUUCAGAGCUGCUCCAGCCUGAAGCGCAGCUACUGACCUCGAGGUAGAAGGGGUUUCGGUCGGUUCCCUCGCUCAGGGAUCCCCGAGAGAAAACCGAGCAGAACAGAGCAGAACAGAGCAGCCAGGCAGCUCUCGGCCAGGCAGCUCUGGCGAGAGCGGCCGACGCGGCGGGGGUGUCGCCAGGGCAACGGCUCUGCACCCACCCCGUCUUGCCUAGAAAUAGCCUCAGGGAGCGACCGGUCGCUGCCCAGUGAAGAAGGUGUGAGGAGCACCGGGGCUGAUUUAUCAAGGAGAAACAGUAAGCCACUCCUACACGGGACUCCCCCUUAAGAACGGCUGUUAUCGCCCUUGGGUGCAGACCAUUACCUCCCAUGGGCCUCAUAUUAACAAAAAACGCAUGAGCCACUGGAAACUCUUCUUUUUCCAAGAAGUUUAGACUGCUAAAUACUUUGGCAGCAGAUCAAAGUUGACACCUGCCUAAAGAAGCAAGAACUGUGUAACUCCUUGUAUGAAAAGAGUUUAAAGGAAGUCAGCAUCAAACACUACAGAUUUUCAUACCCUGGGAUACUCUGCAGCUUCAAUGAAAAUUCUUCUGCUGGAAGGGAAGAACUCUAUCUACACCAUAUUCAACAAAUGGAUGGAGGAAUGU